AACGCACCUUGCGCCCUUUGGUAUUCCGAAGGGCAUGCCUGUUUGAGUGUCAUUAAAUUCUCAACUUCAAAGGGCUUGUCUUUUUGAAGCUUGGACGUUGGAGGAUUAUGCAGGCAUAUUUUUUUUGUAUGUCGGCUCCUCUUAAAUGUAUUAGCAGGACUUGUACGUUCGGCUCUGGUUUGAUAAUAGUAUCUAUGCCAUGGCUGAGAAGUCGUAGUUCAGCUUCUAAUUGUCUGUCUGGACUGUCUCUUUAGAGGCAUCACCUUGGACUUGACCUCAAAUCAGGUAAGACUACCCGCUGAACUUAA
rnacentral:misc_RNA from 1 species